rnacentral:rRNA from 1 species
GAUGAACGCUGGCGGCGCGCCUAACACAUGCAAGUCGAACGAUUAAAGCACCUUCGGGUGUGUAUAAAGUGGCGAACGGCUGAGUAACACGUGGGCAACCUGCCCCUUUCAUUGGGAUAGCCACGGGAAACCGUGGAUAAUACCGAAUACUUCGAGACUUCCGCAUGGAAGACUCGAGAAAGCUCCGGCGGAGAGGGAUGGGCCCGCGGCCUGUUAGCUUGUUGGUGGGGUAACGGCCUACCAAGGCAAUGAUGGGUAGCUGGGUUGAGAGACCGACCAGCAAGAGGGGGGGAGAGAUACGGGCGGGCGUCAGGCGGGAGGCAGGGGUGCGGAGUGUGGCAUGAUGGCGUAAGGCGUGAAGCAGCGAUGCCGCGGGCGGGAGGAAGAACUUCGGGUGGUAAAAAGCUAUCCGCAGGCACAAGGCGAGAGUGACGGUGCGUGAAGAAGAAGCAACGGCUACGUACAUG